UGGGGAAUCUUGCACAAUGGGCGAAAGCCUGAUGCAGCGACGCCGCGUGCGGGAUGAAGGCCUUCGGGUUGUAAACCGCUUUCAGCAGGGACGAGGCCGCAAGGUGACGGUACCUAACCAGAAAGCCACGGCUAACUACGUGCCAGCAGCCGCGGUAAUACGUAGGUGGCAAGCGUUGUCCGGAAUUAUUGGGCGUAAAGCGCGCGCAGGUGGUUUAGAAAGUCUGAUGUGAAAGCCCACGGCUCAACCGUGGAGGGUCAUUGGAAACUAAUAAACUUGAGUGCAGGAGAGAAAAGUGGAAUUCCUAGUGUAGCGGUGAAAUGCGUAGAGAUUAGGAGGAACACCGGUGGCGAAAGCGGCUUUUUGGCCUGCAACUGACACUGAGGCGCGAAAGCGUGGGGAGCAAACAGG
rnacentral:rRNA from 1 species